rnacentral:rRNA from 1 species
UACGGGGAGGCAGCAGUCGGGGGAAUAUUGCACAAUGGGCGCAAGCCUGAUGCAGCCAUGCCGCGUGUGUGAAGAAGGCCUUCGGGUUGUAAAGCACUUUCAGUUGUGAGGAAGGUGGUGUCGUUAAUAGCGGCAUCAUUUGACGUUAGCAACAGAAGAAGCACCGGCUAACUCCGUGCCAGCAGCCGCGGUAAUACGGAGGGUGCGAGCGUUAAUCGGAAUUACUGGGCGUAAAGCGCAUGCAGGUGGUUUGUUAAGUUCAGAUGUGAAAGACCCGGGGCUCAACCUCGGAACUGCAUUUGAAACUGGCAGACUAGAGUACUGUAGAGGGGGGUAGGAAUUUCAGGUGUAGCGGUGAAAUGCGUAGAGAUCUGAAGGAAUACCGGUGGCGAAGGCGGCCCCCUCGGACAGAUACUGACACUCAGAUGCGAAAGCGUGGGGAGCAAACAGGAUUAGAUACCCUGGUAG